ACUGGUUGACCUCGGAUCAGGUAGGAAUACCCG
rnacentral:rRNA from 1 species